CCCACGAAUGGAGAAAACAACAACUAUCACUUCCUGCCCACAUCUGAAGACCAAAAAAGAGGCGAGGCAGUUAUUAUGACGUAUGCUUCGAAAACAGGACUGGAGGCUGUUUUGUCUUAGCAGGUAAGGGAGGUUGAUGAACCUGUGGUGUAUGUCAGCCAGAAGCUGUCAGAGCAGGAGGCCUGGUACAGCAAUGAGUGCCUGGCAAUCUUGUAGGGGGUUGACUCACUUCCCUAUUACCUCAUAGGCCGCCCUUUCACCCUCUGUUUGAUCACACCGCGCUGCAGUAACGCCAUUGCAUGUGUCGGUAUAUAUGUGUAGAGUGAAUUUAUUGAGAUCAGGUGACUGACUUAACUGCUGAAAAAUUGUGAAAUUCUUGGGUUGCUUCUGGGUUGCACUGUGAAGUGCCACCUGAUCACUUUUGUAGCAUUUGUCAACAUCUGACCAAAAAGUAUAGAUUUGCACACUUGAGAAAUCCUCCUGGAACACUAACUAGAAACACCAGUGACCCCGCUGUGUCUGCACUAGCCCUGCAUCAGAAGUGUGUUAUGUCUAACACAUUUCUGUUUACUGUUUUGUUGCCGCUCCCAUGUCCUCAUUCAAGCUGACCUGAAAUCUGUUUGUUUUAGGUCAAGACAGUCCAUUAAGACAAUUAGAGUGUGACAUUUAACCUCUGGAAAAUUUGAGAGUGAAAAAGAGGAAAACACACCCAUCAUACGUAUGUGUACUCUUUCAUUUCACCUUCUGUUUUGCCUUGCAGACAACAUUUCACUUGUUGUGAGUCCUAAUGUUGUUCUUGGAAUCACUGCUUUUUAAAUCAUAAUAAUAAUAGUAGUAGUAAAUAAAGACACACACAGAUAAAUAUACUCAUGCAGAAAACAAAAAGUGUGGCGCAGUGCAGGUUAAAUCUUUUGUAAAAAUUUCAUUCUUGCUCUAUGUUUGCUGUCAUUGAGCAAUGCAGCUCAGAGAUGCAACACCAAUGGAAGAACUGUUUAAAUGAAAACCAUAGAAACCAGAGCCUUCCACACACGAGACAAUGGAAAAUGAGCAGUAACUGCACUUUGGAUUUUUUGUGUGACUGUAACUUCAUGAAGUGAGAGAGUAGGUCUUGGCUGGAUUCAGGAUCUGUUAAAAUGGUUUGGAAAGUUUGGGAGAGACAGAAACAAGAGCAUAAAAAGCAAUGGAAACAAAGCAGAAAAGAAGAAAAGCUUAAAGACAAUACAACAUUAAUUCCACAAAGAUAAGAGAGGGAGAAAAACAGAGUGAGCAAAAGAGGAGGUCCAGUAUCUGUUGUUGCAGCUCUGUCCUCAUCCCCAAGUGAGGCUGAGGAGAUGCAACGGCUCCACUUGGAUCAGAGCAUGUCAUUAGGGCAGCAGCACACACCCCUGGGGCUGCACAGGCACCAGCCAGUCUGUUUUUGAAGUGUUUGUGUGUGUGUGUGUGUGUGUGUGUGUGUGUGUGUGUGUGUGUGUCUGUCCAUGCACAAGCUUCACACAAGUGAAAUCAGUAUGCCUAAUACAUCUUCAUACUGCAUGAUGCUGUGUAUUUGUGCGUGGAAGCAGCGUUUCUGGAAUAACUUAAGCGCAGCCUUUUUUCCUGGCUGCCUCUAAUGAACACUAAACUGUACAGUUUUUUAUACAAUCAUCAGGUCAGUUACUAAUCUUUCAUCAAUAUACAACUGUCAUAUAGAGGAUUCAGAUGUGGAUAAAAAUCUAGAGGUAGAAAUACAAAAAAAGAAGAAUUUCUUUUCUAUUCCUUCCAAUGUAUUAUCAUUCAAAAGCAUAAAAAUACUUUGUUUUGUCAAAGGAGGUUCUCAUAGUCAAAUGUGUUUCAUGGCCAAUACGUGUUGUUGGUGUGCAGAUUUAGACCACAUUAGCUCUGGAUAACAACAGAUCAAUGCUUUUCUUUUAAAGAGGGAUAAAAUUCAUGUUUGGAUGUUGGAGGGAUGGAGGUGGUAAGUAGGAUAAAUAUAUCCUUCACAACAGCGAAUGACAACAAUUUAAAUAUGAGAACAAAAACGGGGCUUUUAACAAUCAUCUGCAUGUGACCAAAGUAAUUAUUCAAAAUCCUGUUCUUUUACCAAAAGACAUCAUAUGUGUCUGAAAUACCAGGGGCACUGGCAGGUGGGGGGCUGUAUUUGUCAUCCUGGGCAUUAUAAUUGACAAUUUUUCAUGAUAUCCCUGCAGAUGAUACAAAACAAACCCAAAAGAUGACUCUAGAACCGAAGCUAAGUAUGGCCACAUAUAGAGGGGCUUCAGCAGGAUGAUUCCAUCUAUUUGUGAGCACCAACAUCUCCCAGCUGCCAUCACUGCAUGGAUGGAUGAGAAAUAGAAAGCAGAAUAAUUACCAUUCUCCCACCCAAUUGUACAGAGGCAGCAGGAAGUGCACACUCAACCCUUUGAGACUCAGAACAGGAUAGAGGCACUGGGAGGACUGGGUGGGGGUGUUGGGGUUUCAGGAUGCUGACAGGGUCAGCUGUUCCACCAGACACAGCCCAUCUGUUGUCUUGUUAUACAUGUGUCUGAAGGGUACACCUAUUUUUCUUUACUUUUUUGCCUUAUUAAAGGUUAUCUGCUUUACAAGAGUGAAACCAAUUUGACUUGGCUUCUGAGAAAUUUAAAUGUGUGGUGCAAUGAACAACUACAAAAAAAAAUAAUCAAUGCAGGUACUUCAAAUAGAUUUAAAGGGUAGGUGGUUAAGUAAAACAGAUGCAUAUCAAUCAGACUCAGUUUUAGAGCACAGUGUAUUUAUUCUAGCUGGGAAACUGUCCGUGAGCAUCUUCUGCCAAAACUAAAUUUUCUUUGAAAAGAAAGGUGAGCAGAGCACUGAUAGGCUAAGAAUGAUUGUACUACAAUGACAUUUCUUUUCUUAAAAAAAUUGGAGAGAGAGAGAUUUGAAAUCUCAUGUUAACAUAAUGCUGUUUGGGGGAUUAAACCAGGAUGUGUACUUUCAUGUUUUUUACCACCAGUAUGGUGGGUCUUGAUGGUUUGUCAUCUGAUGUGCCUUAGCACCAAAAGCACUGAAAACAGCAUCAGGUUGUUAAGGUUAAGAGGCUAAUUUCAGUUCUGUACUUCAUUCUUGUCUGUGCAGCAGAUAGUCAGGAAGAUGAUAUGACAGAGAAUGGUAGAGGUGAACAGAAUAAGAAAAAUGGAAAGGAAUGUUUUUUAUACUACAGGAAUCAUGUUUCCAUUUUUCUGUCACUGAGUUUGGUUUGCAGGGGCAGCAGCUGAAGCAAAGUUGCCCAGGUCUCACUCUCCCUAGCCAGCUCAUUCAGAGGAACAUGAGGCAUUCCCAAACCAGCUGAAAGACACCAUCUCUCCAGUGUGUCCUUGGUAUGGACCAAGGCCAAAAAAUACCUUAGCUGGGAGGUGUCCAGGAGCCCCUCCUCACUGACCAAGCUUCUUAAUCUUCAGGGAGAUCCAGCCACCCUUAAGAAAAAGUUCAUUUUUGCCACAUCACUCCCUGAUUUUAUUCUUGUGGUCAAUACCAGGAGCUUUUGGUCUGAUCCAGAUCCAGUAAGCACCCCACCCUUUCCAGCUGAGGACCAUAGUGUCAGACUUGGAGGUGUGAUUCUCAUUCCAGUUGCUUCACAAUCAGGUGCAAAUUGCCUCUAAUGCAAGGUGAAGGUCAUGAGAAGUCACCAAAAGAAUCACAUCCCCUGCACAGAACAGUCACGUGAUCCUAAAGCCACCAAAGUGGAAACCUGGUUGUGCCUAGAAAUUCUGUCCAUAACAGUUUGGAUAUGAACAGAAGUGGGUCAAAGGUUAGCAACUCUCAACAAGAACAACAUUACUGCCAGCAAUGCAAACUAAGCUCUUACUAUGGGAGUAAAUGGCCCAUAGCAAUGGACCAGUCACCACAUACUGUAGGAGCAUCACCCAGCUGACACGCUUCUCCAAACAGAGCCUUCAAGAUCUCAGAGUGAACCUCAUCUUCCCACUGGAGAGUAUUUUAACCACUACAGUGACCCACAGUCAUGGGUGAGUUGUCCUCCUCAUCCCUAGGCUCUGCUUCCGCUAAAGACAGCGUGCCAGUGGGAUUGAGGAGAUCCUUGAAGUAAUCUGUCCACCAACCAGCUGAGUUGUUCCACAGCAUGCCAUCCCUACUGUGUAAAGUGGGCAUACCAAAUGCUCCCAACACACCCUCACUACAUGUUUGGCUGUCCAGGAAAGGAAGAGGCCAACAAAAACUAGUUCUGUGCUACAUCCAUCAACAGACCAUUAUAAGACAAGACAGCUUUUCCUUCUUGUGCUACAUGUGAUAGUUCUUCAUUAUUCUGUUGGAUAGAGAUUCUGUAUUGAUCAGAGAGCUCCCAACCUGCAGACAGUGGACUUAAAAAUAUGACUAACAUACAGUACUGUGCAAUCAGGAGAAAGAGUUUUGAAAAUGCAGAAUUUCUUUGACUUUUUUCCUCAUUUGGUUUUAAUAGUGGUUGAAAAACUAAAGAAAUGUGUAAAAGAUGAACAAAGAUUAUACUUAUAGUACAAAAAACAUUUGUGUGCAUAUUAAAAUCUGUGGUAGCCAUGUUGGCUUUGUAUUAUUUCAGCAUGGAGGUUGUCAUGGUGGCAUUUGCAUACGGCCACAUUAUACUGAUGUGUUUACUGAUGGGCUGUGUGAUAGAUUGUGUUUUGUCUA